UACGAAGGGGGCAAGCGUUGUUCGGAAUUACUGGGCUUAAAGGGCGCGUAGGCGGCCGAUCAAGUCAGGCGUGAAAUUCCCGGGCUCAACCUGGGGGCUGCGCUUGAUACUGAUUGGCUUGAAUGCGGGAGAGGAUAGUGGAAUUCCCAGUGUAGAGGUGAAAUUCGUAGAUAUUGGGAAGAACACCGGUGGCGAAGGCAGCUAUCUGGCCCGUAAUUGACGCUGAGGCGCGAAAGCGUGGGGAGCAAACAGG
rnacentral:rRNA from 1 species